UAAGGGGAACGCCCCUCCCCCCUCUCUUUCCCCCUUCUUUCUUUUCUGCCACCACUUUCCCCCACCCCCACCCCUCCCAGUAAACCUCUCACAUGUGAAACGGUUUGGGCCCAGUGUGCUGUGCACAGACAUGAGCAGCUAUUUUAACACAUCAACACCCACUCCAACAAGGCCACACCUCCAAAUAGUGCCACUCCCUGGGCCAAUCAUAUACAAACCAUCACACUCUGUGUCCCACUUUUAAUUGGAGUUAAUAAAAGUACUUCCUACAUAGAGUUUUGGUGAUCAGAAAAGUAUGUGACAUGUUUGGUACCGGCCUGACACACCGACUGGGUGCCCUCCAGAAGGUGAAUUUUUCUAUCAUUCCUCACCAACUCCAGCAAUUUUUUUUUUUCACCAAGACAAAGGCAGUAGGUAAUAGCAGAUAAAGUAGGUGAUAUUUGAUAAAGCUCGGCUUAAGACAGAAUGAGCACUCUCAAAGGGUGCUCACUUGCAAACUUGUUUUUGCUGCUGUAACCAAACACUAUAAGCUGAGUAAUUUGUAAAGAAUGAAGGCUCGAGCUUCUGAAGACUGAGCAACUCAUGGUCCUCCCUCCAUUGGAUUGGAUCUCUUUAACUGAAGGGCCUACAUGAAGUUCUACCAAACCAAGUAUUUCAUUUCAUAGAGAGCUAUCCCAGGGGCUGGCUCCGUCAUGAAUCUGGACAGAGCAUGCAUUCGGUUUGAUGACCACUCCGAUAAAGGCUCUGAUUGUUGGCAGAGUGGCUUCUAUCAAGAGAAUCUAUCCAGACUCACGGAUGUCUUUCCCAGUUUACUGACCCUCCCAGGAAUUGAACAUGUUAGACCCUCCAAUAAACUUGACUGCGUUAGGGGAUUUACUUCCGGAUCUCCGUCCCUAGGACCGUCUGGAUGCUCCUUGAACAGUACCAUCUCAUCCCUUUCCCAAGUCCUUAAAUGUGCCCAGUGUCUCCCUUUACAAUGUAGUCACAGCCCCUUGCAAAUCACUGGAUGUCCAACCUAAAACACAGAGGCUUUUCCCUCCAAGGUCUUCACUUCAAGGAUAAACAGAUGGCACCUGCCCAAGGUCAUGUAGCUGCCUCGCUAUUUUUUCAAAUUGCUCCAGUUUGCCUAAUAUUAAACUUCAAAUUAAAAUGAAACAAAAAUGGUCUGGUGGGGCACAUUGGCACACGCCUGUAAUCCCAAGACUUGGGCAGUUGAGGCAGCGAGAUAAUGAGAGGCCACUAUGGCCUACCCAGUAAGAUCUUGCUUCAAAACCACAAAUGAACAAAUAAACAAUGAAGUACUGAUUCUUGUUAAACA
rnacentral:lncRNA from 1 species